rnacentral:rRNA from 1 species
CCUACGGGAGGCAGCAGUGAGGAAUAUUGGUCAAUGGACGAGAGUCUGAACCAGCCAAGUCGCGUGAAGGAUGACUGCCCUAUGGGUUGUAAACUUCUUUUAUAUGGGAAUAAAAUGUUCCACGUGUGGGCUUUUGUAUGUACCCUAUGAAUAAGGAUCGGCUAACUCCGUGCCAGCAGCCGCGGUAAUACGGAGGAUCCGAGCGUUAUCCGGAUUUAUUGGGUUUAAAGGGAGCGUAGGUGGAUUGGUAAGUCAGUUGUGAAAGUUUGGGGCUCAACCGUAAAAUUGCAGUUGAAACUGGCAGUCUUGAGUACAGGAGAUGUGGGCGGAAUUCGUGGUGUAGCGGUGAAAUGCUUAGAUAUCACGAAGAACUCCGAUUGCGAAGGCAGCUUACUGGACUGCAACUGACACUGAGGCUCGAAAGCGUGGGUAUCAAACAGGAUUAGAUACCCGAGUAGUC